CAACCCUCAAGCUCUGCUUGGUAUUGGGUGUUACCUUGCCUGGUACACCUUAAAAUCAGUGGCAGUACCAUUCAGCUUCAAGCAUAGUAAUACUUUCUUGCUUUGGAGGUUGGGUGUCUGCUUGCCAGCAACCUCUAGUUAUCAAAGG
rnacentral:misc_RNA from 1 species